ACAUCAUAUCCCAUGUUUCAAACUAACAUCCAAAUUAUUUUGCCGUCAAUUGAUCCAUCAUUUUUUCUUCCGUUGCAACGUACGGACAUAAUUACUAGUGUACACUAAAAAAUCAGCGCUUAUGUACACAAGGGUAGCUUACCCGGACGGACAAAAUCAGCGCCUUGGGACGGUCCACAAAUACAUUCUUCUUUCUUUGUUAAAAAAAAAA
rnacentral:lncRNA from 1 species